rnacentral:misc_RNA from 1 species
CCGCGAAGAUACACGUGCCGUCGAUCUUCCUGUCACUGGCAGUGGCGGUCACGGUGGGCGUGCUGUUUGGCUGGUAUCCCGCCCGCCGAGCGGCACUGCUCGACCCGAUCGAGGCCCUGCGGCACGAGUGACCCCUUCAGAUUUCAUUUUCACCACAGAGAGCACAGAGGACACAGAGAAGACAGAAGAGAAGAGAGAGAAGAGCAGGAGAAAGUCUCUCUUACAAUUUGCAAUUUACAAUUUGCACUUUGCAUUUUGCAAUGGUGCUUCUCUGUGCUCUCUGUGUCCUCUGUGGUGAAUCCCCUCCUUCAUCCUUCCGGAAGAGGGGUCGGUCCGGCGCGCGUUCGUAAUUCCUCAAGGCGCCGGCGGAGUUGCGGCACCAACUGCGGGUUGCUCGCCUUCGCAGCGUUCAGCACUUGAGGAGCGAUGUUUGGGUCAAUGGUUAGCGCCCGCCGGAAGCGCCUGUCGGCCUCCUUCGGGCGGCCGAGCUUCAUCAGGGCCAGGCCCAUGCGGUAGUUGAUCUCGGCGCUGUAAGGCUCGAUCUGUUCGGCGCGGCGGAAGGCUUCGACCGCGUCUUCCGCCCGGUCGUCGAGGUACGCCAGCCAGCCGAGCAUGUUGUCGCCGUAGGCAUCGUUCGGAUCGUACCUGGCGACCGCCUGCAAGUGCUUGACGGCCAGCUCGCUCUUCCCCUCGAUCGCGGAGAGCAUUCCCAGUUUGCCGUGCGCCAUGGCAUGGUCGGGUUUGAGGCUCAGGAGUUUGCUGAGCGUUUCACUGGCUUGCGGGAAUCGCCGCUGGUCGAUCAGGUGCAGCGACUCGGCCAGGUCGUCGCGGAGCCUGGCCUGGAUCGCCACCGCUUCCUGUAACCUGUCGCGGAUGGCCGGCGCGGGGUCCACCCGCCAGGCCUCGCGAAGGGCGCCGAUCGCGGCCAGGAACCGGUAGUCGCGGCGGCGGUUCUCGGCCUCGGCCAGCCAGUGCUGGACCAGCGCCCUGGUGAGGCGGUCGGCCUCCUGGCGGCUAUGUGCGUCGGACUGCGUGCGAUACCACGCCAGCAGCACCUCCUGCCGGGCCUCUGGGUAGACGGCGAUCCGGUGCUGGUAGCGGCGGAUGGGCGGCACGAACUGAUCGUCCGAAGUGUGGAAAUGGACGUUCAUCCAUACGCGUGCGGGCAUGUGGCAGCCCGUGCAGUCGCUUCGCACCGCGGCGGGCUGGCGGCCCUGGUCGGGGCAAUCGGCGGGCUGGUGGCACUUCUGGCACGAGCGCUUGACUGCGUUGACGUUCGUGGGCCGGUGCGGGUCGUGGCAGGUCAUGCAUGUCAGCGUGUCGCUCUUCUGGAAGCACUUGCUUUCCCGCAGGUACUUGAUCUGGUUGGCCACAUGAUCGUCCUCGGGGUGCUUGCUGACGAGGGUGCGGAAAGAAUCCUCCAGCGACUCACCUGGACGGUAGCUGAAGGCCGGCUUGCGAGGCUUCUGGGCGUUGCUGUGGCACUGGGUGCAAACCUCGAGCUUGCGCUCGCGGGUCAGGCGACCGGGGUACACGAUGGCGUGGCCGGUCUCCGCGUCCGGGUGCGCCUGGUGGAAGGCCACAUGCUCGCGGCCCGGGCCGUGGCAGCGCUCGCAGGUCACGCCGAGUACGACGUGGUCGCGCCUGUACUGGUUGGCGGUGCCGGGCACGUGCUCGAACCAGGUGUUGUGGCACUCCAGACAGCGCGUCGUCGUUUCUCGGG